UGUCCUUUACACUUGUUUUUUCUCUGUUAGUUUCUUCCAAUUUUGAUUCAUUUUUAAACAUUGCUUUUUGCUGUUCCUGACAGCACUGCCCAUAGGGUCUUUUUUAAACAUAGAAGCAGUCAAUAAAAAAGUGGCAAUAGGAAAUGGUGUGUCGAUGUGUGCAUCUGUGUGACAGACCCAAAUGUUGAUGGCCCUGCUGAAUGUUUUGCAAGCUGUCAGAGGUAGUUAUUUUGUAUGUCAGUGAUGUCAAGCAACAGUCUUUAUUUAAGCUAGCAUGAGGAGGAAAAUAUUAUAAGAAAAAAGCACCAUGUACUGUAUAUCAAAGGGAAUGCUGACACUUUAUGUCUCCUGUAGAGCGAUUUACUGUGGGUGUACUCCAACAUACUGUAAUUCUUACUAUAUGACAAAAGAAAAGAAGAUUCAACAAAUGCACUGUGUAAAUAAACAUAUUUCUUGAAGGAAUGAAAAAUGUAUGCAGUGUGGUGCAUUGAAUGAAAUGAGGAGCAAUGACCUCUCUGAUUCCAAAGUACAUAAUAUAUUGAAGGAUCUCUACUUCCAGAUGAAGAUUACCAUGAGCCCUGCACUCUGUAGAAUUCUCAGCACAUUAUUUCAUUCAGUGACCUGUUGAAGCAGAAGUUCCUGACCAUCUACAACAGGACUCAUCCAGCUUAUGUAACACUUCAUUCAGAAAGCUCUUGAAUGCCAGUCCCAAAAUCACUGGAGGAAAACUUCUGGGAUAUAUUGCACCACUUGAGACAUCUGAUGGAAAAUGUGGAAAAUUUCAAUCCCUCUGAACAACAAUGAUGCUGAAGGCAGUGAGAAACAGAGAUGAGUAGGAAUUAAAUGCUUUUGCUUAUCCAAGUUUUGUUCUGGGGAAAGGAAACUCAAGCCCUAGAGUCUUGUGCACCACCUAUACAUAUAAAUGACUCUUGUAAGUCAAUUCAGUGAAAUAUUUCCGCACAGUAAGUAUUGUCUGCGUGUGGGUUUUAAAAUAGACCUCCAUGUUUUCUGUAUAAAUCCUUUUAAGUAAUGGUAGUUAAGCUUCAUUUUUGUAGGCAAAGAAGCCAUGUAAAAGUUGGAGAAUUCAUGCUUAUGUUGGAAAUGACCUGUUAGUUUUCAAGUCUUUUUUAUAAUGUUUCAGUCCCAGUUAUCUUAUGUUAUGCUACUAGAGAAGGGAAACUGAUCCACAUUUUUUUCCUUAGGGAUACAGCUGCUUUCUAAAUUGGAAAUUACAGACUAAAUUGGCAGCUUCUUUGGAUCUGAUACUUUCCUACAUUACUUGAGAGGAUACAGAUUGUAACUAGGUCGUUCAUAAUAGUUACAGUUACAAUAAACUGGAAGGAAAGAACUGACUGUCCAAGUGUCUUGGCACCAGCCCAUUAUCCCUCACAUUAUCAUGUGGGAGACCCAGGUUUGGGAGUUCCCUCUAUUGGCUGAUUAAUAGAACUGCAUUAAUACCGAUCUCAGAACUGACGCAAUCUUCACCUCUCCCAGGAUUAAAUACUGUAAAGGAAUGUGGAUAAGAUCAUGCAGAAUAAGCAGGAAACAGCAUCAGCUUCAGAAUGAAGAUGCAACCCUUUCCCCAUAGCUAUAUAGGAUGGAGGAAGGGAGUAAAAUAACUCUCAUAAAAGUGAAUAGUUCUCAUCAUUGUAUCUUGCAAAAUUUAUAUUGGUGAAAUUAGACAGAUCACAUGAUUCCUAACAUAUAUAUUUAUUGUAGUGUCUUACCAUGCAAAUAUGUUGUAAUGAUAAUGGAAAUGUGCCAAUUUCACAAUACUUCAAAUGUGUAAUCCAUUUUAUGGAAUAUUUGAAAUGUGUUUUUUUCCCUCUUUUUAUAUGGGGUGACAGCAUGGAAAGGCUGAGAACAAACACCAAACGUAUCACUAUAUACAGUAUAGGGGCCUGUCUUAUUCUAAGUAAUAAAUUGGUCCUACUUUAGUUGAGAAACAUAAUAGAAAAACCUGCUAUCAGAGGCCUUAUUGUGUUAUUUAGACACAGCCCAUAGCAAGGGGUGAUGCAGAACCUGACCCGGUUCUGCCUUGAAGAAGCAGAAUACUUCCCAGAGCUCCAAGCUGUGCAGGUGGGGAGGACGUAGCU